GGAGAGUUGGCCGAGUGGUUUAUGACGCACCAUUGGAAAUGAUGUAAACGGGCAGUACCUGUUUCGGGGGUCCGAAUCCCCCACUCUCCA
rnacentral:tRNA from 2 species